ACGCACGCUGGCGGCGUGCUUAACACAUGCAAGUCGAACGGAAAGGCCCUGCUUUUGUGGGGUGCUCGAGUGGCGAACGGGUGAGUAACACGUGAGUAACCUGCCCUUGACUUUGGGAUAACUUCAGGAAACUGGGGCUAAUACCGGAUAGGGGCUCCUGCUGCAUGGUGGGGGUUGGAAAGUUUCGGCGGUUGGGGAUGGACUCGCGGCUUAUCAGCUUGUUGGUGGGGUAGUGGCUUACCAAGGCUUUGACGGGUAGCCGGCCUGAGAGGGUGACCGGCCACAUUGGGACUGAGAUACGGCCCAGACUCCUACGGGAGGCAGCAGUGGGGAAUAUUGCACAAUGGGCGGAAGCCUGAUGCAGCAACGCCGCGUGCGGGAUGACGGCCUUCGGGUUGUAAACCGCUUUCGCCUGUGACGAAGCGUGAGUGACGGUAAUGGGUAAAGAAGCACCGGCUAACUACGUG
rnacentral:rRNA from 1 species